rnacentral:lncRNA from 1 species
AGCACGGGCUCUUCUCUGUGGUCUCUGCUAGCUGCUUGUUCUCCUGCUCGUCCCCAGCCUCAGGAUUCCUCUCUGCUGCUGUUCCACGCUCACAGAAGUUGCGUUGUGCCUGCCGAGCUCUUGGGGAGCUGGAUGCACAGAGAGCUUUCCUUAUCCAAGCUCAGGCCCGAGAGCUUGCUAGCAUCACUUAUUAAUUCCUCCUGGGCAUUUAGAGCAGCUCAGGAACCACUCAAGCAGCCGUCUUUCCCUGCCAAGCCUGUUAAUUUGUAGCUGUUGCUUUGGAAUGGGCCUCAGAGGGGCAGCAUCGAUACCGGCAGCUGUGGCAAGGCCGAGCAAUGGGGCUGAAGGCAGCCCCCUCUGCACUGCUCUGUGUCUUCCAGGUGCAUCAAGCUGCAGCUGGAAGGGGAGGCAGCGCAGGCAGAGGCUUGGGACUGGCUAGCAGCAAACCAGCUCUCUGCGCUGGUCACCACCAAGGAGUCCAGGUAAGCCCGUGUCCCUGGUGGAGGGGAGCAGAGCCGCUCUCUGAGCAGAGGCAAAGUCUUGCAGGAGCCCUGAGGGUCAGCAGCUCAUAAAUCCCUGUCUGGUGGCUGCCUUAAAGCAGACCCAAGGGACCGGGGUGGCCAAAAAGCCAUGCAGCACAACCUGCUUUGCUGGGACACGAACCCAGGCAGCAGGACGGGUCCCCUGGGGCACGCCGCGGCACUGCAGGCAGUCACAGCUGCUGGCAGGGCUGCUGAGGGAAAAUAUUGCCUUGCAGCGCCACAGAUGAAGCCUGGCGGCUGCUGUCAUCCUAUUUGGAGCGUUACCCAUCGCAGAACAGCCUGUACCAUCGCUGCGUCAUCAACAAGCUCCUGGCACACGGGAUCCCUCUGCCCAACUGGCUCAUUAACAGCUACAAGAAAGUGGAUGCGGCCGAGCUGCUGCGCCUCUACCUCAACUACGACCUGCUGGAGGAGGCUGCAGAUUUGGUGCUGGAGUACGUGGAUGCUGUGCUGGGCAAGGGGCACCAGUACUUUGGGAUUGAGGUGAGCAGCCUGGGCUGGGCUGGGCUGUGGCCCAGGGGCUCCUCUUUGCCACGGGCACGAGGCACAAAGGUUCCUCUCCCCUCCAGCACCCGCUG